rnacentral:lncRNA from 1 species
CCGGAAGGUGCUGAAAGAAACACAUUUCGAGUAGUAAAAACAAGUGUCCAGGAAGGAGCUUUCAUCAGCUUAUAACAAACGAGGGACUCAUGUUUCUCCACCUGGAUCUGGAAUGGACUGGAGAGAAACAGCAGGGAGCUGUGAGCAGCUGGCGGCAGGAGCCACCCUGCUCUUAGCAGCACUAGUUGGCUGCUGAGUGGCCCCUAUUUGACUCUUUUGUUGUUGCUCCCUAUAUGACCCUUCCUCCUCUCCCCCAUCUCCUUCCCUUCCCUUCCUUUCCCUUCCCUUCCCUUCCCUUCCCUUCCCUUCCCUUCCCUUCCCCCUCCUUCCCUUCCUUCCUUUUCUUUCUUUUUUCUUUUCAGUUUCUGCUUUUCACACAGGAUCUCACAUAGCCCAGGCUGGCCUUGAAUGUACCACAUAGAGGGGCUGAGUAUUGCACAGCUACCCACAGCAACACUACCUGCUCCAGAGACAAUGAAGCUGAAGAAUGUCUUGCAGAAGGAAAAUGCCUCUCAGCCCUGAAACUAGGAACACUAAAGAGGGUCAAAGCACAAGACAUCCAUCCCUAGCCAGUGUUCCCACCCGUGGAGAAAGUGAGAGUACACUGAGUGGCCUGUCCCAUCCAGAGUUUUUCUAGUCAUUUCCUCUGUGACUUGAAUUUCCUCAAGAGAAUAAACUCAGAUGUGAUUGGAAGAAGGCUCCUUCUGGGUAAUAAUGACAUCCAUCUUUUCAGGGUUUUAACAGUUCUGUGCCAAGAACCCGGGAAGAUAAAUACAUUUCUACCAUCAUCUACAUGAUUCAUUUACCAUGGCAUAUUUCAGAAAUACAGAAACACUAAAGAAGACCAUGGGCCAUGGACUGUUUCAGAGAUAGUCACACUGGGGACUAUGACCUCCUGAAAUUUAUAUGGCAGGAGAGUGUGCAAGGUGGAGGAGCCAAGGAGACAGUGCGCAGGGACCAUGCAAUGAUACCUGGUCAAAGCACUAGAAUCCAGCUGAAGGGAGAGUAGUGGAGAGAGGCAGAAGUGAGGAGAAAUAGACCUACAGUGGUCCUGCUAGUGCACAUGUGCUGUUAGCAUUACAGGCUCUUGUCAGCUUUUGUACCAUUGCAGUGACUUGUCUUUCUCAGACAGAGCUCUUACAUAACUCUCCAAAUGCCACUCGAACACUUGAAUACUGCUUUAUUGUCCAUGCGAAGGCAAAAGCUUGCUAGGCAGAACCAACUCUUUUUGUUGCAUGUCUUUUGAGCAUAAUAUUAUGUCUUCAUCAACAGUAGGAUUGCAUCACAGAACAUUCCCCUGAGCAGCCUUGAAGCUACCUAGCACCUCACAUUGUGUACCCUGCCCAGCUCCUUGUGGCCAGCAACUGUGAAUUUCCAGGAGCCACUGGCUGUCUCUCCACUGUUCAUGACCCCUCCUCUCUUCUUCCUGGCUGUGGCAGUUAAUCUUAAUUAUCAACUUGAUGGGUCACAAUAGGAACACCUCCUGAGUUACAAGAACAUUUCUGGAUUGGAUUAAUGGGGAAGGGAAGGCCCAACUCUAACUCUGAGCAACACCAUUAUGUGAGGUGUGGUCAUGGAUUGAGUAGAAAGGAGAAAAGAAACUAAGUUCCACCACUCACUCCUCUCUGCCCCCCACAGAGACACGCCUCCAUGUGUUACACCAUCUGCUUCAAGUUCAGGCCACCAUGCCUUUCUCUCCAUGAUGAACUGUAUCUUCAACCUGCAAGCCUAAGUAAACAUUUCUUAAUUAGGGUGCUUUUCUGGAGUAUUUUGUAACAACAAGAAAAAUCUCUAACUUUGUGGUGUCUGAAAUUUUCCCUUUCGGAGAACUAAAGGCUUUUACCUAGGUAAACAAAUGUUAACUGUGUUGGAGUUCGUCAAAAGACUCUCACUCACAAAGACCAUGGAGACAGCCAUCGCUGCAAACCACAUGAGAGAAUUUUUAUUGAUCUAACAUGUUGGGGACUCCCCUCUCAGCAUGCAGGCCAGAGGAGAGACCCAGAACAAAGAAAGACAUACUUUUUACUCCUUUGUAAGUGGCAGAUUUGGUCAACAGGGCAGCUGACUUAUUCUAAUUGAUGUAGCAAGUAACCUUUUCAGCCAUUGGUUGGUUUGUAUAGUGACUACCUUUGGCCUAGUGACUCAUUUUUCUUGCCCCCAUGGUAGGUUAUUAUGAUUUGGUCAGCAAAGUAAUAGUACAUUUUGAACUUAUGAGUCAGCUAUUAACGUCACAGCUAUUAACAUCACAGCUAUCAACAUGGUUAGGGUGGUUUGUGUGUGUGUGUGUGUGUGUGUGUGUGUGUGUGUGUGUGUUUUUUUUCUCAGAAUUCAGUGUGGGGCAGGGGAAUUGCUAAUCUUGUUAUGGUUAUUUCUCUGAGAACAGCUAAUAUUUUUCUGGCAGCUGUAGACUUAAUUAUUUUGACAGCUAAAACUAUGUUUCUAUGUUUGUUUAGUCAGCCAGCUUCUUUAUCUGGCUCUGCACUUGGCCUGUUAGUACAGUUUGGGAAGUCCUUUUUGAAGGGGGAAGGUACUGGGUUGUCUUGAAUUCAUUUUGGAUAUUAUAACUGAACAUGUUGCUGUAUCCUAAAAUUCCAGCACAUGGGACACUCAGGCAGGGGGAUCCUGAGUUGAUCAACCUUAAGUUGAUCAUGAGUUGUAAGUAAUCUGAGUAGUCAUGAGUUGAUUAAGACCAACUUGAGUUAUGUUGUCAGACCACAUCUCAGAACAUCUCACCCUCAGAUCAUAAAUAAAUAGAGAUAAUAUUUCUGUGUUUACUGACUUCCUCUCUCUGAUAGUCUCCGUGAGAAUGUGAGAAGGCUAGAAACUCAGCCCAACGCAAAAAAGUUUUCUGUGCCUGUGGAAGGUAAACGCACACACACACAAAAAACAAAAACCAAAAAAACCUCCAAAAACCCAAAGCACUGUGUUCUUUUAAGCUUUGGUGGGGUAAGCCAUAUUAAGAGGUUGGAAGUCUUUAAUUCUUGUUAUUUAUAUAUUAGCUCCAGGUAAAAUGCUCUCAAACAGACUCUGAACUCAAAUGCCACUUACUUCAAGGUCCUUAGCUUCUUGCUAGCAUCCCCUAAAAAAUAAUCAAGUGUUUGUUCAAGUUGAUAUGGUCCUUGAUGUUGAACAGGGCCAGUUUACACGGUUAAUUUUAUAUAAAAAUUUUGGUAAAGCCUAGGAAUUCCCUUGUGGCUGAAAUGAUGGCUUUCCUGUCACGUUCCUAUAAUGGUUAUUAUAAUUAGUCUCAAAGUACUAACUUUAGCACAUGCACUAAUGUCCCUGCUUUAGUUGUACCAUAGUAAAUAUGGCUAAGUCUGGGUUUUACCCUUAACAAUGUCUGUGACUUUUGGAAGCAAUUUUCUACUGUUCAAUUUUGUUCAGCUUUCUUCAAGGACCCUAUGAAUCUGGGAUAUAACACUAUAGAGAGAUGGACAGUGAAGCUAGCCAUGGAACUCCGAAAAGGUUUGGUGGCUUGUAAUGAAGUACUUAUGAAACAAAAUUCAGUCAGUGAUAGGGGAUUUCCUAGGAAUCAAAUUAUCCUCAGACACCAGAGUGAUUAAGCUGAGAAUAUACGUUACAUUGGAGAGUCAAGAAUAAGUGGAAAUAACUACAUGCCCUCUUCAUGCAUCCAUCAACAAGUUGAAC